GUCUAUGGCCAUACCACCCUGAACGCACCCGAUCUCGUCUGAUCUCGAAAGCUAAGCAUGGUCGGGCCUGGUUAGUACUUGGAUGGGAGGAUAUGUAGUAUUUAAGAAA
rnacentral:rRNA from 1 species